rnacentral:rRNA from 1 species
UGGGCGUAAGGGCUCGCAGGCGGUUUCUUAAGUCUGAUGUGAAAGCCCCCGGCUCAACCGGGGAGGGUCAUUGGAAACUGGGAAACUUGAGUGCAGAAGAGGAGAGUGGAAUUCCACGUGUAGCGGUGAAAUGCGUAGAGAUGUGGAGGAACACCAGUGGCGAAGGCGACUCUCUGGUCUGUAACUGACGCUGAGGAGCGAAAGCGUGGGGAGCGAACAGGAUUAGAUACCCUGGUAGUCCACGCCGUAAACGAUGAGUGCUAAGUGUUAGGGGGUUUCCGCCCCUUAGUGCUGCAGCUAACGCAUUAAGCACUCCGCCUGGGGAGUACGGUCGCAAGACUGAAACUCAAAGGAAUUGACGGGGGCCCGCACAAGCGGUGGAGCAUGUGGUUUAAUUCGAAGCAACGCGAAGAACCUUACCAGGUCUUGACAUCCUCUGACAACCCUAGAGAUAGGGCUUUCCCUUCGGGGACAGAGUGACAGGUGGUGCAUGGUUGUCGUCAGCUCGUGUCGUGAGAUGUUGGGUUAAGUCCCGCAACGAGCGCAACCCUUG